CUGCCUGUAGUGUUUGUCUUAGCAGAACCAGAAGUAUGUGAAUUUCCAUAUAAAGAUAGAGCGAAGCAUAACUGCCGGUAGUGUUUGUCUUAGCAGAACCAGAAGUAUGUGAAUUUCCAUAUAAAGAUAGAGGGAGCCAGCCUGAUGGUCCAUCACUUGGACUUUGGACCUUCCCAUGUUUCCGGCGGCGGGUGACAAGGCAUACAGCCAAACCGAUAAGAAUUACAGCAGCAAUUCCACCUCCAACACCUCCACCAAUAGCUGAUUUAUUACUUUUUGAUUGACCUUUUUUGGACGGCAGAGGGUCAAUAUGAUCUGGUUCUGGCACUGGAAUAGGAUUAGGCCCUGCGAGGUUUCCGUUGGUGUCGUUCACUUUAAAAAUCUCUACUCCAUUCAAAAUUGCAUCAUACCAAUUGGAUUUUGAAGCAACGUUUGGAUGGAGGGCAAGCCAAAGAUCCUGCUGCGGAGCCCCAGAACGGACAGAGACCACGUAAUCCUUGUGGAAAGGAACCCCAUUGCUUCCAGCCCAAGCAAUGACAUCUGCUGCAGGUUCCGCAGUCUGAUUAUUCAUAUAGAUGGCAAACACUCUUUGGUUGACUUUUGUGAUAUUCAUAGUGAUUUCACAGAAAUGGAGCCUAACAAGAUAAGAGAAUCCGGAAUCAACUGAAAAAACCCAAGUCAGAUUGUAUUGCAGGUUAAUCUGAGCAGUUGGACCCAUUGACCUGGCUGUCUUAUAGACAUCAAGCGGGGCAAUGUCAGAUGGCGUUCCUUCAGGAUAGCUUACUGUGACAUUUUCAUCAUCUGCAGUAUCUGUAACCCCGUUGGCUGCUCCAAAGAUAUACUGUGAGUCGUCACUCCAUGACCUAAACAUACCAGUAUCAGCUGAUGGUGAGAUCACAUUGCCUCCAACAUUAAGCCGGUAAACAUUCUCAAGGGCAGUAGAAUUGUCAAUAAUGAAAGCAGCAGUCUGACCCACGAUGGAGGUAGUCCCAUCCUCAGUAUUAUAGAUGUCACGAUGUGAAAUAAUCUGACGAUGAAGGUAGUCCCAUCCUCAGUAUUAUAGAUGUCACGAUGUGAAAUAAUCUCAAUCCCAUUGACAAACGCAAAGGAGUUUGAAGUAUUUGGAGAGGGUGUGAAAGUCAUGUUCAAAGUUUCAGAUGGCACAUUGAUUGAAAAUUCCUUUGUCAAGUAAUCGUAGUUGAGAGCUUCAGCAGUUUGUGCUGCACUGAAGUUUCUAAGGAGGGAAUAUGGUCCAACAGUCACACUGAAAAUGGCAUUGGUGGCAUUAAGCUUGUUGUAAGACGAGGGAUAAAAAUACAGACGGACAAACUUACGACCAGGUGCUACAGGGAAACUAUAGGUGAAUUCAGACUGGAAAACACGGGCAGACAUAAAAGGGACUUGAGGGACAGAGGGCUUUUGAUCAGCAGCAUCAGAGGUUGAUGACUUGCUACCUUUCAAAUAUGUUGACCCAAUAUCCGAACCCCAUUUUCGACCAUCG
rnacentral:lncRNA from 1 species